ACUAACCAAUGCAACAAUAGGAAUUCACAAGAACAGCUAGGAAAGCAAAUACUCUGCAUUUCUCUUUCGUACCGACUAAAGAGUAGAAAAAAUAUAUCAGUAUACAACAACAAAAUUGUAUGUAAUGCAAAAUCCAGCAUCAAUGCAUGAAGCGAUCAACCCAGCUUGGUAUAGCAUCCCCGGCCGCCUGCUCCUCCUCUUCACCGCUUUCCCGGAAACUUGCUGCUCCUCUCCACUGCAUCCCAGAAAUUCACCUAUUCAGAUUAAUUACUUAAGAUGGUCUUAUAGUUUUGAGAUAUUAUGCGGCUAUUUUUUCUAUGAUCUGUAAUCUAUGUUAAAUGACAGCUCCAGUGGCGGCAUCGCGCGUGAAGGGCAUGCGAUGGUGAACACCCUCAAGUGCCCUCUGUUUAUACCAGGGAGACAAGCUGGAGCUUGAUGAGCUCGAAUUACUUGAUGAGAACAUGACGUAAUCUCUUCAUGAGGGAGAGAAUAACGUUCAAUUAGUAGCAACAAGGCGCGGUUCAUCAAUUGUGGAAGACAAGUGUAUGUACUAUGUACCCGCACCUGUAAUAUGUAUUGAUUAUUCAUUCGGCUUCAAUUGGUUUU